CAUUACCGAGUUAUUCAACUCAUCAACCCUGUGAACAUACCUAAACGUUGCUUCGGCGGGAACAGACGGCCCCGUGAAACGGGCCGCCCCCGCCAGAGGACCCCUAACUCUGUUUCUAUAAUGUUUCUUCUGAGUAAAACAAGCAAAUAAAUUAAAACUUUCAACAACGGAUCUCUUGGCUCUGGCAUCGAUGAAGAACGCAGCGAAAUGCGAUAAGUAAUGUGAAUUGCAGAAUUCAGUGAAUCAUCGAAUCUUUGAACGCACAUUGCGCCCGCCAGUAUUCUGGCGGGCAUGCCUGUUCGAGCGUCAUUACAACCCUCAGGCCCCCGGGCCUGGCGUUGGGGAUCGGCGGAGCCCCCCGUGGGCACACGCCGUCCCCCAAAUACAGUGGCGGUCCCGCCGCAGCUUCCAUCGCGUAGUAGCUAACACCUCGCGACUGGAGAGCGGCGCGGCCACGCCGUAAAACACCCAACUCUUCUGAAGUUGACCUCGAAUCAGGUAGGAAUACCCGC
rnacentral:rRNA from 1 species